rnacentral:rRNA from 1 species
AUUGAACGCUGGCGGCAGGCCUAACACAUGCAAGUCGAACGGUAACAGGAAGAAGCUUGCUUCUUUGCUGACGAGUGGCGGACGGGUGAGUAAUGUCUGGGAAACUGCCUGAUGGAGGGGGAUAACUACUGGAAACGGUAGCUAAUACCGCAUAACGUCGCAAGACCAAAAAGGGGGACCUUCGGGCCUCUUGCCAUCGGAUGUGCCCAGAUGGGAUUAGCUAGUAGGUGGGGUAACGGCUCACCUAGGCGACGAUCCCUAGCUGGUCUGAGAGGAUGACCAGCCACACUGGAACUGAGACACGGUCCAGACUCCUACGGGAGGCAGCAGUGGGGAAUAUUGCACAAUGGGCGCAAGCCUGAUGCAGCCAUGCCGCGUGUAUGAAGAAGGCCUUCGGGUUGUAAAGUACUUUCAGCGGGGAGGAAGGGAGUAAAGGUAAUACCUUUGCUCAUUGACGUUACCCGCAGAAGAAGCACCGGCUAACUCCGUG